UCCUGGUUUCCCAGGCAGUCCCAUCAGAGUGCUUCCUUUCGGAUUAGCAACUGACGGCAAGGGUUGCGCUCGUUAAAGGACUUAACCCAACAUCUCACGACACGAGCUGACGACAGCCAUGCAGCACCUGUGUAACCGUUUGUGUUUCCACAAAACCCAGUGUUUCUACCGGUAGCAGUUACAUGUCAAGCCUAGGUAAGGUUCCUCGCGUAGUGUCGAAUUAAACCACAUGUUCCACCGCUUGUGCGGACCCCCGUCAAUUUCUUUGAGUUUUAGUCUUGCGACCGUACUACUCAGGCGGAUCACUUAACGCGUUAGCUUCGACACCGAUCUUGCCAAGCAAGACCAACAUCCAGUGAUCAUCGUUUACAGCGUGGACUAC
rnacentral:misc_RNA from 1 species